GUGUUAACCAAUACCCCGCUGUUGCAUUGAAAACAUUAAGCAUAGCAGCAGCGUCUUUUUCCCUGGUGUUGGCGCAGUAUUAGCGCACCCCGGCCUCGGC
rnacentral:sRNA from 2 species